rnacentral:lncRNA from 1 species
GAUAAUCAUCUUCAAAUCUGAAGGCUCCUUUGUUCAGUUGAUCGCUUCAAGCUAAUCCAGGUCGUUCUCUCUCUCGUUUUCUGGUGAAUCAAAACUGGAUUUCUGCCAUUUCCUCUCUGUGUUUUCUGUGGUCGCCGCUUUUUCUAGUUUUCCUCGACUGCCACUCUGUGCUUGCCGCUCUCACUGUGCUUGCCACUCUCUCUAUGCUUGUCGCUUUCAAUGUUUUUCUCUUGGCAUACCUCCUGGUACCAGGUAUCCAAACCCUUACCCCUUUUUUUUACUCUCUCGCGCUCUCUCUCUCUCUACCGUUUAAUACCUAUACCCUUUAACCUUUUUUCUUUUUCACUAUUUCUAUCUUUACCAUUGAAUAGCCAUACGUGGCACU